CAGCAGCCGCGGUAAGACGGAGGGGGCUAGCGUUGUCCGGAAUUACUGGGCGUAAAGCGCUCGUAGGCGGUCGUCUACGGCGGUGGUGAAAGCUCCCGGCUCAACUGGGAGAGGCCCGCCGCAACGGGACGACUCGAGGGUGGUAGAGGCAAAUGGAAUUCCUGGUGUAGCGGUGAAAUGCGUAGAGAUCAGGAGGAACACCCGUGGCGAAGGCGGUUUGCUGGGCCACACCUGACGCUGAGGAGCGAAAGCCAGGGGAGUGAACGGGAUUAGAUACCCCGGUAAUCCUGGCCGUAAACGAUGGAUACUAGGUGUCAGCGGUAUCGACCCCGCUGGUGCCGGAGCUAACGCGUGAAGUAUCCCGCCUGGGGAGUACGGCCGCAAGGUUGAAACUCAAAGGAAUUGACGGGGGCCCGCACAAGCGGUGGAGUAUGUGGUUUAAUUCGAUGCAACGCGAAGAACCUUACCAGGGCUUGACAUCCCGGGAACCCGCCUGAAAGGGCGGGGUGCCCUUCGGGGAGCCCGGAGACAGGAGGUGCAUGGCC
rnacentral:rRNA from 1 species